rnacentral:rRNA from 1 species
GAUGAACGCUGGCGGCGUGCCUAACACAUGCAAGUCGAGCGAACAGACGAGGAGCUUGCUCCUUUGACGUUAGCGGCGGACGGGUGAGUAACACGUGGAUCACCUACCUAUAUGUCUGGGAUAACUUCGGGAAACCGGAGCUAAUACCGGAUAAUAUAUUGAACCGCAUGGUUCAAUAGUGAAUGACGGCUUUGCUGUCUCUUAUAGAUGGUUCCGCGCCGCAUUAGCUAGUUGGUAAGGUAACGGCUUACCAAGGCGACGAUGCGUAGCCGACCUGAGAGGGUGAUCGGCCACACUGGAACUGAGACACGGUCCAGACUCCUACGGGAGGCAGCAGUAGGGAAUCUUCCGCAAUGGGCGAAAGCCUGACGGAGCAACGCCGCGUGAGUGAUGAAGGUCUUCGGAUCGUAAAACUCUGUUAUUAGGGAAGAACAAAUGUGUAAGUAACUAUGCACGUCUUGACGGUACCUAAUCAGAAAGCCACGGCUAACUACGUG